UAUCUCUGUAGAGUCUGCAUAUCAAUAAGCGGAGGAAAAGUAAACUAACAAGGAUUCCCUUAGUAACGGCGAGUGAAGCGGGAAGAGCUCAAAUUUGGAAAUCUUCAAGGUUCUACCUUGACGAAUUGUAGUUUAAAGAAGUGUUUUCUGUUAGAUGAGUAGCAAAAGUUCCUUGGAAUGGGACAUCAUAGAGGGUGAGAAUCCCGUAUUUGGUUAUUCAUUCUAGCUUUGUGAUACACUUUCAAAGAGUCGGAUUGUUUGGGAAUGCAGUCCAAAAUGGGUGGUAAAUUUCAUCUAAAGCUAAAUAUUGGCGAGAGACCGAUAGCGAACAAGUACCGUGAGGGAAAGAUGAAAAGAACUUUGAAAAGAGAGUUAAACAGUACGUGAAAUUGUCAAAAGGGAAGCGUUAGACACCAGUGUUGUUUUUUCCGAAAAUCAAUUACGAAUGGCUUGAUUUUGUGUUGUAUUGACCUUAUCAGCUUUCUUCACUUUUUUUCGAGUCUUUCUUAAUGCACUUUUUGGUUAACAAGUCAACAUCAAUUUCUUUUGUUGUAAAAGAGUAUUCGGAAGGUGGCUUUCUUUUCGGAGAAAGUGUUUAUAGCCUUUGGCCUCUGCAAUCGGAGAGAUUGAGGUCUGCAGCGUAGAUCCUUCGGGGUUAGAUACAUUUGUGCUAAGUUAUAGCCUUUCAUAGACAACUUGUUGACUAUGAUCAGUCAUGUAGCUUACUCGCUUAUGCUAUUUUACCUACGCUUAGGAUGUUGACGAGACUGUCGAUCUC
rnacentral:rRNA from 1 species